UACGUAGGGACCGAGCGUUGUCCGGAAUCAUUGGGCGUAAAGAGCGUGUAGGCGGCCUUUUAAGUCCUGCGUGAAAUCCUGCGGCUCAACCGCAGACGGUCGUGGGAAACUGGAAGGCUAGAGUGCGGGAGAGGAGAGUGGAAUUCCCGGUGUAGCGGUGAAAUGCGCAGAUAUCGGGAAGAACACCCGUGGCGAAGGCGGCUCUCUGGAACGCAACUGACGCUGAGACGCGAAAAGCGUGGGGAGCAAACAGG
rnacentral:rRNA from 1 species